CGGAAGAGGGGAGGCCGGGCCUCUGGUGCCGUAGGAGGUCGCUGGGCUGCAGGCCUACGAGGCCCACCUGAGCUCGGAGUCUGGGCCAGACGCUCGGGGCUGCCAAGGUCACCGCGGUCACCGCACUGCCUGGCGCCCGAGGGGGCUGGCGUCCCCUGACGGGGUGCGGGCCCUGGGGUGCAGGGGGAAGCGUGGCCGCUGGGACAGCACGGGCGCCGGGCACGGGGGCGCCUGCAGCGCGGAGCCUGUCCCCGAUCGUCUCCCUGGGGCCUGGUGACCCGCGCUCGGGAUCUGCCUGCCGGUUCGCUCCCCCGUGGUGGCAGCACCGAGCCCGAGCCUGCCCUUUGUCACAGGCUAGGUGCCGGCCCGUGGGGCCCGGGGCGCAGGGGCCACCUGCACACCUACCUUGCUGUCCUCUGCAAGCGCUCGACGCUCUCCUCGAGGCUGCGGCCGGCGGUUUGCACUUGUCCGUGGUCUUCUGUUCGGUUAAAGACCCUGUGUUAGGGCCAGGAUGUCCCAACGGGCGACUGAGCAGGGAGGCUCCUCCUUCCCGGGGGACUCCGGCGGCCCCGGGGUGCAGCAGCCUCUUCUGCCCGACAGGCCGCGUGCUCAGCGCCCUGCCCCGCCGGCCACCGUCCCCUGAUACACUCGCGGAAUGGCCCCGCUGACCCCGUGCACGCGUGGAGGGGCGGCCGGCAGGCUCCGUGCUAGCAGACUCAACAUGCCCAGCGGCGGAGUUGGGGCCCAGCCCCCCGUGUGCUGCGGUUCUGGCACCUGGACCCCCGCCAGGCUCAGCGUCGCCGGGAGUGACUUGCUCUCAGGCUCCCGCGUGACUUAAGCAGAGCGUGUCGUGGAGCACACGGGCCUGCGUGCACCUCCCGUUGCCUGCACGUUAGCAAGAGAAUCGUAGCCGAUGAGAGCUGGGAACUGAAAGCUAGCACAGCGCGGGGGCUGAGCGAACGCCCUGGAAGGUCUUAGGUGGGUCUCAUCACCUACAGCUCGACCCCUGGCUGCUGCGAUAUUUGCAACACAAAAGCGAUUUCCCCAGAACUUUAAAAAAAGGGGGGGGGAGAGACAGGGAGAGACUGUAAAUCUUACUUCUGACUCACAGCCACGAAACAGUCCCCAACUCAGUGGUGCAGCUGAGACCUUGCAAGUGGAUUUAAAGAAUAAAACUAAUGAGGCCAGACACGUUUAUGAGCUGUCCGCGCCCGACCGGGGUUAUGGGAGGCUGGUGGCAGGCGCUAGGCUGCCGCGGCUUUCUGUCCCCCGCGCAGGGCCCCCUCGGCCACGGAUGCGUCCCGGUGCCGACGACAGCCAGGGAAUGACUGAACCGGGGCGUCCCGGCCCCCCCCCCCUGCGCUUCAGGCUCCAGCGCGGAGCUGCCCGUGGGAUCCGGGGCCAGAGCAGGUCUUUCCUGAGAGCGUCCCCCGGGUGAUCGGCUAGACAAAGGGAACCAAGGGGGUGUGCCUUUAAACCGGGCACCGAGAUGAGCCCCGCAGGGCGAGCUGGCGAGAACUCAGACCGCGGUCCUUGCCUGUGGGGAUGACACAGGCCAAAGGAGAGAAGGAAAACAAGGCCGCCAGCUCGGCUAAAGCAUUUUGCAAAGUUUAGCAGAGCUUUCCAGGUUUUUCUGGAAAAAGGAGGAAAGGAAGUAAAGGGCAACAAGAGGAUUGGUUAGCAGCUGGCUUCAGAAAUGCUGACAAGUGGAUUUGCCUGGUUUUAUUUUUCUAAGUCAGGGAUGAGGAAAGAGUGCGGUUGGCCUGGUGCUGCUGGCCGGGAGGCAGGCCCCGAUCUGGGCGCCGAAGCCGUCCUCGGACCUGCUGGGGGGCCGCUCAGUGAAGAGGGCGCGCAGACUCCCCGCAGGGCGUCCGAGGGUCUGGGAGAAGAGAGAGCACAGGAGCCUCGCUCUACUUUGUUUUGCUUUCUCUUUUUUUAAGAUUUUAUUUAUUUAUUCAUGAGAGACACGGAGAGAGGC